ACUGGGAUAGCUGGGUCAAAUGGUGGUUUCAUUUCAAGUUUUCUAAGGAAUCUCAACACUGAUUUGCAAAGUGGUUGCACCAAUUUGCAUUCCCACCAGCAAU
rnacentral:pre_miRNA from 1 species